rnacentral:rRNA from 1 species
CGCUGAGGACGACAUUAAUGAGUUGGAAGCGGGGGUUGAUGCUGGUGCAUAUAUUUAUUGUAUGUACAUGUGCUCACCUUCACACUCUUCAUCCACUCAACCCCUGUGCACUUUAUCAGAGCUUAGUAAUGGUAUUGUGGCAUAACUGUUUGUUAUUCACUGUUAGAAGUGGGGUGCAACUCUUUCUAGCAUUAGUAACAAUAAUGUUGGUUCUGCUGCUACUAUGAACGCUUUGACUUUUACUUAUACAAACACUUUGCUUGUUCUUGUGAAUGUGUAAUGCUCCUUGUGAGCGAAAUACAGAUAUAUACAACUUUCAACAACGGAUCUCUUGGCUCUCGCAUCGAUGAAGAACGCAGCGAAAUGCGAUAAGUAAUGUGAAUUGCAGAAUUCAGUGAAUCAUCGAAUCUUUGAACGCACCUUGCGCCCCUUGGUAUUCCGAGGGGCAUGCCUGUUUGAGUGUCAUGAAAUUCUCAAUCCUCUCUUUCUUAAUUGAAGAAGGGGCUUGGACCUGGAGGUUUAUGUAUGCCAGUACUCUUUGUAUUGGCUCCUCUCAAAUGCAUUAGCUGGACUGUAGUUUGCAUUGUUUAGUGUAAUAAUAGUAAUAGUUUUCUAUCUAUAAUCACUACAGUGCUUGCUCAGACUGUCUGCUUCCAAUAGUCUGCCUAUGUGUUGGACAGGUACUCUGUUGCCUUAAACCACUUGACCUCUUUGACCUCAAAUCAGGUAGGACUACCCGCUGAACUUAAGAAAAA